rnacentral:rRNA from 1 species
AUACGGAGGGUGCAAGCGUUACUCGGAAUCACUGGGCGUAAAGGACGCGUAGGCGGGAUAGUAAGUCUGAUGUGAAAUCCUAUGGCUCAACCAUAGAACUGCAUUGGAAACUACUGACCUAGAGUAUGGGAGGGGGAGAUGGAAUUAGUAGUGUAGGGGUAAAAUCCGUAGAUAUUACUAGGAAUACCGAAAUCGAAGGCGAUCUCCUGGAACAAUACUGACGCUAAGGCGUGAAAGCGUGGGGAGCAAACAGGAUUAGAAACCCUAGUAGUCC